rnacentral:rRNA from 1 species
UACGUAGGGUGCAAGCGUUGUCCGGAAUUAUUGGGCGUAAAGGGCUCGUAGGCGGUUUGUCAAGUCGGGAGUGAAAACUCAGGGCUUAACCCUGAGCCUGCUUCCGAUACGGGCAAACUAGAGGUAUGCAGGGGAGAACGGAAUUCCUGGUGUAGCGGUGAAAUGCGCAGAUAUCAGGAGGAACACCGGUGGCGAAGGCGGUUCUCUGGGCAUUACCUGACGCUGAGGAGCGAAAGUGUGGGGAGCGAACAGG